rnacentral:rRNA from 1 species
UGCAAGUCGAGUGCGCGCCUGUAGCAAUACAGGUGGCGCACGGCGCACGGGUGCGUAACACGUGGGUAAUCUGCCCUCUGAUGGGGAAUAACUCGCCGAAAGGCGAGCUAAUUCCGCAUAAUAUUCCGGGAACUUCGGUUUUUGGACUGAAAGGCGUAAGUCGUCGGAGGAGGAGCCCGCGCACGAUUAGCUAGUUGGUAGGGUAAUGGCCUACCAAGGCUUUGAUCGUUAGCUGGUCUGAGAGGAUGGCCAGCCACACUGGAACUGAGACACGGUCCAGACUCCUACGGGAGGCAGCAGUGGGGAAUCUUGCACAAUGGGCGAAAGCCUGAUGCAGCGACGCCGCGUGGGGGAUGAAGCUUCUCGGAGUGUAAACCCCUUUCGAUCCGGACGAAUGCCCGCAAGGGAUUGACGGUACGGAUAUAAGAAGCCCCGGCUAACUACGUGCCAGCAGCCGCGGUAAUACGUAGGGGGCCAGCGUUGUUCGGAAUUACUGGGUGUAAAGGGUUCGUAGGCGGUGCGGCAAGUUGGGAGUGAAAUCUCUGGGCUCAACCCAGAGACGGCUUCCAAAACUGCCGUGCUUGAGUGUGAGAGAGGCUCGUGGAAUUGCAGGUGUAGCGGUGAAAUGCGUAGAUAUCUGCAGGAACACCCGUGGCGAAAGCGGCGAGCUGGAUCACUACUGACGCUGAAGAACGAAAGCUAGGGGAGCAAACAGGAUUAGAUACCCUGGUAGUCCUAGCCCUAAACGAUCAGGACUUGGGGUGUCACCCGUUCG